AAUAUGAGCAACUAACCUCAAUUUUAUCAUGCGUAAGAAUAUGACGGCGACUAGCGCACAGCUCCAAAAAAACAGCCUGCAGUAGAUAUCGCAUGAAAGAUGCCGACCUUGCAAGAUAUGGUGCAUAUGUGGAAGAAAAAUGAAACUCUUUAUUCAAUUCUAUUUAAGCGCACUUUUUCGUACGGCAUAUAUAG